rnacentral:rRNA from 1 species
GUGGGGAAUAUUGGACAAUGGGGGCAACCCUGAUCCAGCCAUGCCGCGUGUGUGAAGAAGGCCUUUUGGUUGUAAAGCACUUUAAGCAGGGAGGAGAGGCUAAUGGUUAAUACCCAUUAGAUUAGACGUUACCUGCAGAAUAAGCACCGGCUAACUCUGUGCCAGCAGCCGCGGUAAUACAGAGGGUGCGAGCGUUAAUCGGAAUUACUGGGCGUAAAGCGAGUGUAGGUGGCUCAUUAAGUCACAUGUGAAAUCCCCGGGCUUAACCUGGGAACUGCAUGUGAUACUGGUGGCGCUAGAAUAUGUGAGAGGGAAGUAGAAUUCCAGGUGUAGCGGUGAAAUGCGUAGAGAUCUGGAGGAAUACCGAUGGCGAAGGCAGCUUCCUGGCAUAAUAUUGACACUGAGAUUCGAAAGCGUGGGUAGCAAACAGGAUUAGAAACCCUAGUAGUCC